rnacentral:rRNA from 1 species
UACGUAGGGUGCAAGCGUUAAUCGGAAUUACUGGGCGUAAAGCGUGCGCAGGCGGUUUUGUAAGACUGUCGUGAAAUCCCCGGGCUUAACCUGGGAAUGGCGAUGGUGACUGCAAGGCUAGAGUUUGGCAGAGGGGGGUAGAAUUCCACGUGUAGCAGUGAAAUGCGUAGAGAUGUGGAGGAACACCGAUUGCGAAGGCAGCCCGCUACGCAACUAUUGACGCUGAGGCACGAAAGCGUGGGGAUCAAACAGG